ACAAUGGGUGAGAGCCUGAUCCAGCCAUCCCGCGUGAAGGACGACGGCCCUAUGGGUUGUAAACUUCUUUGUACAGGGGAUAAACCUUUCCACGUGUGGAAAGCUGAAGGUACUGUACGAAUAAGCACCGGCUAACUCCGUGCCAGCAGCCGCGGUAAUACGGAGGGUGCAAGCGUUAUCCGGAUUUAUUGGGUUUAAAGGGUCCGUAGGCGGAUCUGUAAGUCAGUGGUGAAAUCUCAUAGCUUAACUAUGAAACUGCCAUUGAUACUGCAGGUCUUGAGUAAGGUAGAAGUAGCUGGAAUAAGUAGUGUAGCGGUGAAAAUGCAUAGAUAUUACUUAGAACACCAAUUGCGAAGGCAGGUUACUAUGUCUUAACUGACGCUGAUGGACGAAAGCGUGGGGAGCGAACAGGAUUAGACUACCCUGGUAG
rnacentral:rRNA from 1 species